rnacentral:lncRNA from 1 species
CUUUGAUGACUUGAGAACAAAAUAUUUUUUAAAAAAAUCAUUAAAUCUUUUUUUCCAAGUCCACGAAGUUCCAAAACCUGUCCCAGAAGAGAAAGUGCCGGUUCCCAAAAAGGUGCCACCUCCACCAGCCAAAGUGCCUGAAGUUCCCACACCUGUCCCAAAAGAGGAAGUGCCUGUUCCCAAAAAAGUGCCGCCUCCAGCAGCCAAAGGUACAUCUAUCAUUUAAAAUAGUUAGACCGAAAUCAUUAACACUGACAUUACUUGUCAUCCUUAU